GUUACUCACCCGUUGCUUUGGCGCACGCCAAUCUCCUCACCCGCUAUCCUGUAUCGUCGGAGCACUAUAACAUUAAAACUUUCAACAACGGAUAUCUUGGUUCUGGCAUCGAUGAAGAACGAAGCGAAAUGCGAUAAGUAAUGUGAAUUGCAGUAGUGAAUCAUCGAAUCUUUGAACGCACAUUGCGCCCUUUGGCAUUCCGAAGGGCAUGCCUGUUCGAGCGUCAUAUCGCCAUCACGCGGCGCGCCGGCCCCCGGGCCUGGCCCCCGUGGUCUUGAGCCGUGUCAGCAAUGGCAGGCUCUAAAGUCAGUGGCGGCGCCGUUGGGUCCUGAACGUAGUCCCCACUCGUUACGGGCCCCGACGCCUCCCGCCCCUCCAUCCUCUGGAUGACCUCGAAUCAGUAGGGUUACCCGCUGAACUUAAGCAUAUCAAUAAGCGGAGGA
rnacentral:sRNA from 1 species